GGACGUUUGGCGCAGUCGGCUAGCGCGCUUCCUUCACACGGAAGAGGUCACAGGUUCGAGUCCUGUAACGUCCAC
rnacentral:tRNA from 1 species